rnacentral:rRNA from 1 species
AUCAACGCUGGCGGCGUGCCUCAGACAUGCACGUCGAACGAUUAAAGUUUCCUUCGGGAAAGAUAUAAAGUGGCGCACGGGUGAGUAACACGUAGGUAAUGUACCUUUGGGUGGGGAAUAACAGUCGGAAACGAAUGCUAAUACCGCAUAAUGCAGCGGCUCCUUCGGGAGACAGUUGUUAAAGAUUUAUCGCCUAAAGAGCAGCCUGCGGCAGAUUAGCUAGUUGGUAAGGUAACGGCUUACCAAGGCUACGAUCUGUAUCCGGCCUGAGAGGGUGGUCAGACACACUGGCACUGAGUAACGGGUCAGACUCCUACGGGAGGCAGCAGUCGGGAAUUUUGGGCAAUGGGCGAAACCCUGACCCAGCAACGCCGCGUGAAGGAUGAAGUCUUUCGGGAUGUAAACUUCGUAAGAAUGGGAAGAAGAAGUGACGGUACUAUUUGUAAGGUCCGGCUAACUACGU